GGCCGCUUGCGCGCGCGCACACUUUUGUUUCAUGGUAUAAAGUUUCUUCUUUCAUUACUUUGAAACACUACCCUUUCUCAUAAGCAACUUGGUUUUUGUGACCUAAGUAUUGUCUUUUCAUGCUAUUCACAUUCUUACAACUUGUUUACACUAUUGUGUCAUUCUAGAUUCCUUUUCUCCUGAUGUAUGUGUCGUGCAAUAUUGGUUGGAUAUUUCUUAGGAACAUUCUUUAGAAGUGUACUUGCAGCAGACAAGUUAAUGUUGCUUGGCAGAUGAGUUAAAACUAAGGCUAUAUUCUUAUCUAUCUCUAAAUUUUUAUUCUCUUUAAAGCACUUGGUAUUUGUUUGUGAAAGACACUUUAACAAAUUAGUUACUUAGAAAGUUAGAAAAUUCUAUUAAAAUUUGGAAGCUAAAACACUGUUAAAAAAUUUCUGUGUUUGAGCUACCUUGGACAAAGUUAUCUAGCUGAGGAUUUGUUACAUUAGGAGGCUGAGCUAGCUGUUCCAGGAGGCGAACAAGGGCUACCCAUCAAUUAAGUGGAAGUUAUUCAGAUCAGAAGCCUCCAUUGGUGCUAUGUACUGAAUUUUGGAUGGAUUCUUAGAACUGGAAAGGUUCAUUAUGUACAUGGUGCAUAUCAUCAAUCUGAUGGCUUUUGAUGCAUUGUUUCUUUAGUAUGCGUGCUAAGUAGCUCUCUAUGUUUUGAAUAAAGUGAAAGCUUUUACUGGUAGCUUGCAACUUUAAAUAUGUUUCAAUCUUGUGGAAAAUGUUGAAUAAUAGGUUUGGGAGUUAAGAGUUUGGAUGCAUUGUCUUAUGGUUUACGAGUCACAAAUUGAGUUUAGGCCAUGGCUGUUUGGAGAACUAUCACAUGCUCCCUCUGUUGGGUUCCUGUCUCUAGUGUUUUUGUCACGGUAAUGGCCAUAAUACAUCUGCUGUUGUUUUCAACCUUGGGUUUAUUUAUCAUAACAAGUAUUGAAUUCUAGCCAAGGCUUUUCAAGGGUGUUGCUUUUUUGAGUUCAUGGAUUUCCAACUAUUUUACUUUGGCCUUUUGUAAGCUUGGAGCUGGUUUCUUGCUGUUGCCAUUAAGCAUCCUCAAGUUUGUAUUCAUUAUUUUCAAUGCUUUGUUGUUGAUGCUAAUGUUGUAGCUUCUCUUUUUUCUUUUUUUUCCUUUAAUUUUAAUUUUGUCUUCUUUUUUUUUUUUGGUUUUGAUGUUGAGACUUUCUUUGUACCGAAGGUACAAUAUGUUUACCCUGUUUAAUAUCUCAAAGUUAUGCAUUUCACUAAGUAUGUUUUGAUCUUCUUACAUUCAGUUUGUACUAAAAUGUCACAUUGUUGAGGUCACAGACUGCAAAAUUGUAUUAGCACCCAGCUUUUUCAGCUUUGAACAAUUUGCACCGUGAAAGGAUACUGCAUAUUGGAAGGACUGUGAGGAUUUAUGGCAGGUUCACUAAUCUUCCACAAAUUUACUGAAUUGAUGAUGGUGGGUUUGUCUUCAUCAGUAUGUAUCCAGGGAAGAGAAAUGGAGCUUUACCUCAACAAGACACUUGGAGGCAGCAAGGAUCGACGACACACUAAUAACUCCUCCAUCGCCAUCGCCAUCGCCAUUUUGCUCGCUUAAUUCUUGAUUGAUAGGGUUGCAGAAACCACCAGCGGCGGCUGCCAGUUCAAGUUCCAUGGACGAG